GCCGAUGUGGUGAAAUUGGUAGACACGCCAUCUUGAGGGGGUGGUGGGGAAACCCGUGUGAGUUCGAGUCUCACCGUCGGCACCA
rnacentral:tRNA from 1 species